GUUUUUGGUGGCGUCCUAAGGAGACACGUGCCGUGUUGGGAAUGGGCGAUAAAACUCCAUCUCCUUUCUCUCUUCAUUAUUCUCUCUUCCGCUGCAAACCCCUUCACCAUUCUCUCAUGUCCGCCUCUGUUUCAGCCGAAUGCCACUCCUCCUCCACCGUGGACCCACCUUCUCUCAUCGUCUUCUCAGGUGGCACUGGGUUUAACGGCGUUGUGGAAGAGUUGAAGAAGAUAACAACCAGAGUCGCUCAUGUUCUUCCUGUCUCUGAUGAUGGAGGAAGUACUGCUUAGAUUGUUUGUGUUCUAGGGGGACCAGCGGUUGGUGACAUACGUUCAAGAUGCUUAAGGCUGUCUGAUGAAAGUACUUCAGAGGCACUUGCUGUUAGGAGGUUGCUUGGUCAUCGUUUACCAAUUACACUUAGUAGUACACACAUGGAUUAUUUGCUCAACUCUUGUUAGUUACUAUGGUGAAAGUUAAUGUGUGCUGAUCUGGAACUUUGACAGGUACGAUAUCGUGGAAAGUAAUCACUCUCUAUGGGAUGGUGUAUCAAGACCCUGCAGAGAAACAAUCCGAGCUUUCUUAAUUUACUUUCAGAACGAGGAGCAAGGAUAUUUUUUCAGUCUUUAGAUGCUGCCAUCUUUCUGUUUUCACGUGUUUCAGAGAUUCCUUGCUUACAUAAGACUCUUUCUAUGUUUCUAGUAGAGACAUUCUUCGACUCUUCCAUCGAAGAUAAAGAGAGUGUUUUACAUGUCCAGCGAGGGCAAUAAUCUGCUUCAUGAGGUUAACCACACGGUCCACACUGUUCUAUAUGUAGAAGUUUUAUUCAAUAAAAUGUUUUUUUUUUUUUUUUUUUCAUGUUUGUAAUUUUUUUCCAUGUUUUUUUU